GAUGAACGCUGGCGGCGUGCCUAAUACAUGCAAGUCGAGCGAACAGACGAGGAGCUUUCUCCUCUGACGUUAGCGGCGGACGGGUGAGUAACACGUGGAUAACCUACCUAUAAGACUGGGAUAACUUCGGGAAACCGGAGCUAAUACCGGAUAAUAUAUUGAACCGCAUGGUUCAAUAGUGAAAGACGGUUUUGCUGUCACUUAUAGAUGGAUCCGCGCCGCAUUAGCUAGUUGGUAAGGUAACGGCUUACCAAGGAAACGAUGCGUAGCCGACCUGAGAGGGUGAACGGCCACACUGGAACUGAGACACGGUCCAGACUGCUACGGGAGGGAGCAGUAGGGAAUCAUCCGAAAUGGGCGGCAGCCUGACGGAGCAACGCCGCGUGGGUGGUGAAGGGCUUCGGAUCGUAAAACUCUGUUAUUAGGGAAGAAAAAAUGUGUAAGUAACUCCGCACGUCUUGACGGUACCUAAUCAGAAAGCCACGGCUAACUUCGUGC
rnacentral:rRNA from 1 species